rnacentral:rRNA from 1 species
GACGAACGCUGGCGGCGUGCUUAACACAUGCAAGUCGAACGGAAAGGCUCCAGCUUGCUGGUGUACUCGAGUGGCGAACGGGUGAGUAACACGUGGGUAAUCUGCCCUGCACUCUGGGAUAAGCCUGGGAAACUGGGUCUAAUACUGGAUAUGACCUUUCUCCUUAUGGGGUUUGGUGGAAAGUUUUUCGGUGUAGGAUGAGCCCGCGGCCUAUCAGCUUGUUGGUGGGGUGAUGGCCUACCAAGGCGACGACGGGUAGCCGGCCUGAGAGGGUGAUCGGCCACAUUGGGACUGAGAUACGGCCCAGACUCCUACGGGAGGCAGCAGUGGGGAAUAUUGCACAAUGGGCGGAAGCCUGAUGCAGCGACGCCGCGUGAGGGAUGACGGCCUUCGGGUUGUAAACCUCUUUCAGCAGGGACGAAGCGUAAGUGACGGUACCUGCAGAAGAAGCACCGGCUAACUAUGUG